CUUAGCAUAUGCGACGACGUGAUAGAGCUUGGAUAGAGCAUGUUGGAGCAUGUGUUGAUUUUCUAACUCGAAAACAGGUAGCGCCGCCGGCUAGUUGUACGGACAUAUCUAGAAGUAUUGUGGAGCGUUUUUUAAACAGAGAAGGUCUGCCAUGACUACUUGGCUGCUCCGUUCUCGCGGCGCGCAACAUCUUCAGUCGUAUUGCCGCUUGAACUGACUGCACCAAGGCAGUCUAGUUCAAGUGUGUGUAUUUGCUGGACUGACUCAGAUGGACCGCACAGUAACUUUGUGACUAGUGCCAGCGUGCUUUGUGCAGCAGUAAAUCUUACGGCGCGCGAUUUUCUUCAUAUACCGGCGCCUCUCUUUCAUGGACACACAGUACAAAAGUACAAGUGUUGGUAAUGUGCCUGACGAGUCGCCCAUGUACCUCCUGUUGCUUGCUCCAACUGCUCGACUGCUAUAAGACAUAGGACCAAGUGCUAAUUCC